rnacentral:rRNA from 1 species
UGGGGAAUAUUGCGCAAUGGGCGAAAGCCUGACGCAGCGACGCCGCGUGGAGGAUGAAGGUCUUCGGAUUGUAAACUUCUGUUAGGUGGGAAGAAAUGCAUAAUUAUAAUACAAUUAUGAGAUGACGGUACCAUCAGAGAAAGCACCGGCUAAACUCGUGCCAGCAGCCGCGGUAAUACGAGUGGUGCAAGCGUUAUUCGGAGUGAUUGGGCGUAAAGGGUGUGUAGGCGGCAUGUUAAGUCAAUUGUCAAAUCCCUCGGCUUAACCGAGGAUAGGCGGUCGAUACUGGCGUGCUUGAGGAUGGAAGAGAGAAGUGGAAUUCUCGGAGUAGCGGUAAAAUGCGUAGAUCUCGAGAGGAACACCGAUGGCGAAGGCAGCUUCUUGGUCCAUUCCUGACGCUGAUACACGAAAGCGUGGGGAGCAAACAGG